GGCUUAUCUGCAAGCCUAAAACAGCAGGACGGCAGGAGCUGGCGACCUCCUAAAACGCCUA
rnacentral:ncRNA from 1 species